rnacentral:lncRNA from 1 species
CCGCCUCUCGGCCAUCUAUACUUCCUCAUGGUUCACCCAUCGGUUCUUGGCUCAACGAUCAUACAAAAAGUCGAGUUCUCCCAGCUCGGCCCCACACUAAGGUACUAAACGCAGUUAAGCAAGAUAGGAUUUUUGGUGCUUUUCAAUUAUCAAUGCUCGUAACUCAAUUCAUAAAUCUCUUGUGAAACUAUGGUGUUCUGUACUAGUCUUUGUUUCACUAGUUCUUGCGUGAAGUCUAUAAGUAUAAACUGAAUGAGCUAUUCAUCAGCAACAUAUCAUGGUUUAUGCUGGAUUAUGGAAAGUGUGACUUUGCUAAGUUUAUACGCAUAUAUUUGUCUGUAUAGUCUAUAUCCAUUUACUAAAACAUGUUUUGAUGCUAUGAAGUAUAGAUUUGAAUAAUUGAGAUAGUAUAAUACCUUGCAAUUGUUUGGUGGUUUGGUUGGCUGCUGUGUUGCUAUUGAAAUCAGCGGGAGAAACUGAAAUAGAAACUGGUUGCUUUAACCUUUUGCAGGGAGGAACUAUGGAGGGAUGGAGAGAGUUAAGCAAAACUUACCUAUCCGAAACUUGGCAGCUGGAAAAUCGGUUCACUCAUUUGAAUGCUGGUGAACAAAGACUGAAUAAGGGAGUUUGUUGGAUGGUUGCCUUAUUGAAGGAGAGAGUUAGCUAAAUGGGAGUAUCUACUCUUCUAUGACAUGCUUGAAAGAUGGGCAGCAGGUGUAGGGUGGGUGACUGAGGAGAUGGCUGUCAUAGGGUGGCUGAUUGACACCCUAAGUGUACCUUGGCAUGUUUUAAGGGAUGGGGGAGUGGCUUGGUGCAGAUGGAGGUGAAGGCUGCUGUUGCAGCUAUUCUGCACACACGGCACACAUUUCUUUUUCUUUCUUUUCCUCUAUUUUGUUAGCAAGUAGUGAGUAGGAAAUAGGAAGUGAGUGAUGAUUGUACUAGCUAUGUAGUAGGAGUAAAAGUUGUAUUGUAACUAGGAACAAAUUCUUAUGACUUGUAUUCUUUAUGCAUCUGUAAUAUUAACUCCGAGUUUUGAUAUCAUCGUGUAUCUGUAAAUCCAAUUCGAGCUAUGCUAAUAACGACGCUUCGUUAUAAA